GGGGAUAACUAUUGGAAACGAUAGCUAAUACCGCAUAACAACAGUUGUUGCAUGACAGCUGUUUAAAAGAUGCAAUUGCAUCACUACCAGAUGGACCUGCGUUGUAUUAGCUAGUUGGUGAGGUAACGGCUCACCAAGGCGACGAUACAUAGCCGACCUGAGAGGGUGAUCGGCCACAUUGGGACUGAGAUACGGCCCAG
rnacentral:rRNA from 1 species